UGCCUCAUACAUGCAAGUCGAACGAGGUUUUCGGACCUAGUGGCGCACGGGUGAGUAACAUGUGGGAAUCUACCUGAAGGUUCGGAAUAACUGCGGGAAACUGUAGCUAAUACCGGAUGUGUCUGCAAAGAGAAAGAUUUAUCGCCUUCAGAUGAGCCCGCACUAGAUUAGCUAGUUGGUGAGGUAACUGCUCCACCAAGGCUACGAUCUAUAGCUGAUUUGAGAGGAUGAUCAGCCACACUGGGACUGAGACACGGCCCAGACUCCUACGGGAGGCAGCAGUAGGGAAUAUUGGACAAUGGGGGAAACCCUGAUCCAGCAAUGCCGCGUGAGUGAAGAAGGCCUUAGGGUUGUAAAACUCUUUCAUCAAUGAUGAUAAUGACAUUAGUUGAAGAAGAAGCUCCGGCUAACUUCGUGCCAGCAGCCGCGGUAAUACGAAGGGGGCUAGCGUUGUUCGGAAUCACUGGGCGUAAAGCGUAUGUAGGCGGAUCAAAAAGUUAGAUGUGAAAUCCCUGGGCUCAACCCAGGAACUGCAUUUAAAACUAGUGAUCUAGAAAUUGGUAAAGGUUAGUAGAAUUUCCAGUGUAGAGGUGAAAUUCGUAGAUAUUGGAAAGAAUACCAGAAGCGAAGGCGACUAACUAGGCCAUUUUUGACGCUGAGAUACGAAAGCGUGGGUAGCAAACAGGAUUAGAUACCCUGGUAGUCCACGCAGUAAACGAUGAGUGCUAGUCGCUGGGACAAUAGUUUCAGUGUCGUAGCUAACGCAUUAAGCACUCCGCCU
rnacentral:rRNA from 1 species